GAUGAACGCUGGCGGCGUGCCUAAUACAUGCAAGUCGAGCGAACGGACGAGAAGCUUGCUUCUCUGAUGUUAGCGGCGGACGGGUGAGUAACACGUGGAUAACCUACCUAUAAGACUGGGAUAACUUCGGGAAACCGGAGCUAAUACCGGAUAAUAUUAUGAACCGCAUGGUUCAAAAGUGAAAGACGGUCUUGCUGCCACUUAUAGAUGGAUCCGCGCUGCAUUAGCUAGUUGGUAAGGUAACGGCUUACCAAGGCAACGAUGCAUAGCCGACCUGAGAGGGUGAUCGGCCACACUGGAACUGAGACAUGGUCCAGACUCCUACGGGAGGCAGCAGUAGGGAAUCUUCCGCAAUGGGCGAAAGCCUGACGGAGCAACGCCGCGUGAGUGAUGAAGGUCUUCGGAUCGUAAAACUCUGUUAUUAGGGAAGAACAUAUGUGUAAGUAACUGUGCACAUCUUGACGGUACCUAAUCAGAAAGCCACGGCUAACUACGUG
rnacentral:rRNA from 1 species